GUCCCUGUAGAGCAAUGGUUAGCUCGUUGGACUUCUAAUCCAAAUAGCGAGGGUUCGAAUCCUAUCUGGGAUG